rnacentral:snoRNA from 1 species
UGACCCAAUGAUGACAAUGGGUCAUGAACCCAGGAUUAUGAUUAAUCUAAUUUUCUGUACCUAGGGCCAUU